rnacentral:tRNA from 2 species
UGCCGGGUGGUGUAACGGUAGCACAGGGGACUUUGGAUCCCUUGAUGGAGGUUCGAUUCCUCCCCCGGCAGCCA